GACGAACGCUGGCGGCGUGCUUAACACAUGCAAGUCGAACGGAAAGGCCCUGCUUUUGUGGGGUGCUCGAGUGGCGAACGGGUGAGUAACACGUGAGUAACCUGCCCUUGACUUUGGGAUAACUUCAGGAAACUGGGGCUAAUACCGGAUAGGAGCUCCUGCUGCAUGGUGGGGGUUGGAAAGUUUCGGCGGUUGGGGAUGGACUCGCGGCUUAUCAGCUUGUUGGUGGGGUAGUGGCUUACCAAGGCUUUGACGGGUAGCCGGCCUGAGAGGGUGACCGGCAAAAUUGGGACGGGGAUACGGCCCAGACCCCUCCGGGGGGCAGCAGUGGGGAAUAUGGCACAAGGGGCGGAAGCCUGAUGCAGCAACGCCGGGGGGGGGAUGACGGCCUUCGGGUUGUAAACCGCUUUCGCCUGUGACGAAGCGUGAGUGACGGUAAUGGGUAAAGAAGCACCGGCUAACUACGU
rnacentral:rRNA from 1 species